CGCGCGGCUGGCGAGGCAGCGCCCGGCUCCUGGCGGGAUAAUGCGGCUGCGGGCCGGCCCUCUUGCCCAGCCCGGAGGCAGCGCCAGCGGGGCGCCCCCGCCGCCGCCAUGUCCCCCCCGGCCUCGGCGGCCGCGGCCAGCGAGGGAGGCAGCAGCACGUCGGUGCCUCAGGAGGAGGCGGAGGGGGUCCGAGAGGAGCAGCGGCCGGUGAAGCAAUCCCUCAGCAAGUCCCUGUGCCGAGAGUCCCACUGGAAAUGCCUGCUGCUGUCGCUCCUCAUGUAUGGCUGCAUGGGAGCCAUGACCUGGUGCCACGUCACGAAGGUGACCCGUCUGACCUUUGACAGUGCUUACAAGGGCAAGUCCAUGAUGUACCACGACAGCCCAUGCUCCAACGGCUAUGUCUACAUCCCCUUGGCCUUCCUGGUGAUGCUCUAUGUGGUGUACCUGGUGGAGUGCUGGCACUGCUACACCCGCAACGAGCUGCAGUACAAGGUGGAUGUGGAGAGUGUGCACGAGCGUGUCCAGCGGAUGCAGCAGGCAACCCCGUGCAUCUGGUGGAAAGCCAUCAGCUACCACUAUGUCCGGAGGACCCGACAGGUUACCCGCUAUCGCAAUGGGGACGCCUACACCACAACCCAAGUGUACCAUGAGCGGGUCAACACCCACGUGGCAGAGGCCGAGUUUGACUAUUCCAAUUGUGGAGUUAAGGACAUCUCCAAGGACCUCAUUGACUUAGAGAGCUACCCAGCCACGCGGCUCCGCUUCACCAAGUGUUUCAGCUUUGCCAAUGUGGAAUCAGAGAACUCCUACCUGACCCAGCGGGCCCGCUUCUUCACAGAGAAUGAGGGCCUGGAUGACUAUAUGGAGGCCAGGGAGGGGAUGCACCUCAAAAACGUGGACUUCAAGGAAUAUAUGGUGGCCUUUUCUGACCCAGACAACCUGCCUUGGUAUGUAUCCCACUAUGUCUUUUGGGUGGCCGCCCUACUGACCCUAUCCUGGCCCCUGCGGGUGCUAAAUGAGUAUCGCACCUCCUAUGUCCACUACCAUGUGGAGAAGCUCUUUGGGUUUGACUACGUGGCGGUGACCCCGGCAGAGGAGCGCUCCUUCUGCCGGAGGAUGCCCCGUGUCAACACAGUGGACAGCACCGAGCUGGAGUGGCACAUCCGGUCCAACCAGCAGCUGGUCCCCAGCUACUCAGAAGCGGUCCUGAUGGACUUGGUGGGGCUCUCUGGCUGCACUAGCUACUCUGCUUGCCGGUAUGGGGGCUAUCGUCAGAACUGCGAGCGGUGCCACAGGACUAUAAGCAGCUCUUCCAUCUUCUCCCGCAGCGCCCUGAGCAUCUGCAAUGGCAGCCCCAGGAUCCCCUUCAGCAGUAGCCGCUUCUCGCUGGGCCGUCUGUAUGGCUCGCGACGCAGCUGCCUCUGGCAGAGCCGGAGCGGGAGCCUGAACGAGCAGAGCUGCCCAACAGAGCAGACCCGCCUCUCCAGCCAGGUCACUGUGGAGGAGGAAGACCCCCCUCCUUACCAGGAUGCCCUCUACUUCCCCAUCCUCAUUGUGCACCGCAAUGAAGGCUGCCUGAACCAUGACCACCGUCACCUCCACCGCAAUGGAUCCUGUGUGGAGACCUCACUACCAUGCUCCGACUGUUACACUGUUCUUACUGCUGGGACUGACACCACCUCCAGAGGAUCCCGGGCUUGGCUCCUUAGGAAGCUUCAGCACACCAGCUCUGAGAAUCAGCAUACCCUAGGAUUGCAAAGAACCACCUUCUUGAGCAUCUGGUUUUAAAGCAAAUGAAGGAUGAAAAAUCCCAUCCUACAUCAAAGCCUCGGACAAAGCAGGUGGUCUAGAAACACAGCAGACUGGGCAGUGCCAAGAACCCUUGUACUCAUGGUCUCCUGCUUGGAUGCCGUCUCCCUGGGAGGAUCAGCUUUUGUGGGGGGACACUCUCAAGCAACCCAAGUCCAGUCUGCAUGGGAAGUUCAAGCUUCAAUGGAAAAUGCUACAUAGAUAUCAGCUUUAGGAACGCUAUUCUCUUUCAGGUACUCAGUACACGUGCUGACCCAAUCUCCUUCAUUCAGACAGUCCUCUCUCCCCAGCACCCUACCUGCUAGACUUUUGCUAAAAAGGACAGAGCAUGAGAAGGGAGAUGAGUCUCCUUUUAAGAGAGUACAGUGGCCAGAAUUUGAUGCAUCUCUAGCAGUUUGGUACCCAGGAAUCUCAGCCCCUGAACGGUAUUGCCAUUUUCGGGAUCACAGUGAUCAUAGCAAUGGCCUGUGGACAUUUUUAGUUGUAAUUUGUAGCUGUAUCAUUGAUUCACUGAAGAAUCUCCAGUGAGACCCUCAGUUCCCCUGUGUAUAAAACAAAGAUAAUAGUACCAGUCCACUUGUUGAGGUGCUAUGGAGCUUCACAAAUGGGCACCAGGAGAGCUUAUCAUAUGGAAGGUGCUAAGCACAGAGAUGAUUAUUUUCUAAGCAAAAAUCCUUCUAUCCUUUCCAGCUUUUGCCCAUAGUAUCAUUACACUCAAAUGUUUUUCUGUAUCCAGGAUCAUAAAAAUCAGAACUCACAAAAGGUUUUCUGCCAUCAAAUCCUUUUAAAACCUUUGCCAAAUACAUUGAGCCAAUAUUCCUGCCAGAAGGGACAGCUGGUCUCGCUAUCUCUUUAUUGUGACAGUGAGAAAAUUGAGGCAGCACACAAAGUUUAAAAGCCAACAUAAUUGUAUUUGGCUGUCUAGUUUCAGAUUUCUAAAGAUCUUUUUAAUCAGCUGAAGAGAAGUGGUCUGGUUUAUGGAGAUGUUGCAUACUGUAGUUCUUAGGGAUGUAGUAGGAUCUGAGGAUGCUCCUCCAUCUGGAAAAUGUGAGCCCGUGGUUUAGGAGCCACAUACAAGCAUCCAGAUGUGAUGCUUUUGAACUACCAUACCAGUCCAGAGCUGUAGGAUGAGUUACAGCAGCUCAAUAACUGAUACAAUUUUCUAACAAUCUGCUCUGAGUGUUUGAUGGCCAGGAGAGUUCCUGAGAAGGUUGAAACUACCUGUGUGCUGCUGAGUAACAGAUGGCACAGCAGAUACAGAGGAUAUGAAAAAGGCCCUAACAUCAUUCCACCUAUCACUAUUUUCUACUCCCCUGUGUGUAAAGUGGCUGUGAUUUUCCCAAUUUCCUCGAUUUCAGUUUCCCAUGGGGAAAUUUGUCUGCCCAGAAGCUCCAGGCCUGAAAGCCAGAUUCCUCCUGAGAGCUCUGUGAAAAGAGCUAGACAUAAUAGGUGAGAUAAAUGUGCGUGCGCACACAGAAGAAGAUGUUCUUCUCCUUCCCGACAUCUGCUAUAGUCUCUUCAUUACUUGUAACUGUUGUUAUCACAGCAAGAUGGCAAAGUGAGGGAUGCAUUUGGCUUUCUGGCUUUGAGACAGAGCGGGCUCAGUGUCUGCUUUGCAACACAACCACUCAGACACACAAGCUGCAGAGUGAAAGGGUUUCUCUUACCAGCCCUAUGUGGUUGCAUGAGAAAUUGAUACUAGUCAGUGUGCUGUUCUGAGCAAGGACUUGGGAGAAAAGCAUAGCAGUUGGCUCUGACAGCUCGUUACUUCCCAGAUGGAUAGACUUCAGAGUGGUGUUGGUCAGCAAGGCACGGCCGAUUGCCUGCCCGCCUUCAUCCUCCACGCAGUUGAGACGCAGAUUCAGGGAUGUCAGGGUGGAGUUACUGGCCAGGGCUCGAGCAAGAGCCUGAGCUCCCAGGUGACGGAUCUGGUUGUUACACAGAUCAAGGAUUUCUAAUUUGCUGCGGUUGAUCAACUUGCCAACAGCACGUGCCCCCUUGUCCCCGAGGAGAUUGUGGGACAAGUUCAGCUCCAACAAACAGGGGUGAUCCAGCAAGUUCUGGAUCAGCAGCCUGGCCUUGUCAUCAUCCACUUUGCUGCGUGUCAGCUUUAAAAUCUGUGGAGAUAAAAGACAGGGGCAUUAAAAUGACCAGUGCUUUGGAAUGAGCUUUUCAGAGGACCUCAAGUGAGUUAAACCCAUGGCAGCUGCUCACCAGAGGCAGGAUUCAUCUCACUUUGCUUCAGACACCUUGUCAUGUAGGCUAAAUAAAAUAGCUGCUUUUAUACUGGGUAGGGCAGGCUCUUCCAGAAGGCAGGUCAUGCCACUGACAUCCCAUGCCUACUCUAGGGUGAAAUGGUUCAUUUCCUGGAAAUGCCUGCCCCUAUCUUCUGACACCGUAGGAUCUUGGACACAGAGAGCUAAAUUAAAUGAGAUAAAGCUGCCCAAACUUCUGCAGAGAGCAACAGCAGAACUCACCUCAAUAGCAGAGCUCACCUCACGCCACAGUCAAAUACUCGCUUUCUGAACUAGCAUGGACCACCUUCAUGUGCACUGGCAAUAACCUGCAGUGCUCUUUGUUAAGGGCAAUGCCCUACGUGGCCAGGACACCUCAAUAGUUACAUGAAAAGUGAUUUCUCUUCUGGAAGCCAAGUGGAAGGAUGUUUCCCAAAGCAUGCCAAUAUGUGGGGGAAGCAUGCAGCCAGCUCUCUCUGGACAGCAACAUCCAUGGACAUUUGAUGGGGCUGAAUUUCUGUGCUGUAAUGGUCACAGAACUUAAGGUUAUGCUAGUGCCCAGAAAGAAUAAGCCUCAUCACUCUAGGUAAAAUGCGAACAUUUUUCCCAUGCUCUUCUUGGGUCAUCUCGUCUGCUCUGGGGCAUUCUGAUAAGUGUUUACUGAGCAUAAACCAUCAAAAACUGUCCUUAUGAAAAACUGUCUCUGGGCUUCUCCUCUCCUCCCUCCCAGAACUACAUGGGGAGUUAAAACAGGAAUGCUGCUUUCUCGCUGGCUACAGGGAACAUUUUUUGAAGGAGCAAACGUUUUGCUUACUGACCCUCAGACAACCUGUUCUAACAAGAACAUACACCAGACCAGAUACUCAGCACUAGGCCAGCAAGUCAACUUCUCUUCACUUUGGCAGAUUGGAACUAUCAAAGGGAAAGUUGCUGCCCUCCUACAAGACAGGGUAUCUAAAGGGGAAUGAAUCUUCAUGCUCCAACAUUUCAUUCAGCUCAGUCGAGACUGGUGCAGCUCUAGGGACUGCAGCAGCUAUGGACCUGACUAGAACAGUGGUGAACGGUACCACUUGGAUAACACUGCUCUCUACUGACUCGUGUAGACUUGUCCCAGAGAGGCAGAGUAUUUGAGCCAGAUGCUUACAAACUAGGCUGGCAAGACUAAAAGUGUCCAGCAAGCAAAACUGGUCCCUAGGUUUCUUCCCCCAGGCAAUCUGAAGACCUAGCUGAGGAAUAAAGGUUCGGUUUGGGAUACAUUACUUUCAAGUUGUGGCAUUUCUUCAAGGCGACAGCCAGGUUGUAACAGUCCUGGUGGGUGAAGUUAAAGAGGUUCCACUCGAAGUUCAUACCACAGUCCUUCACACCAUAAGUAAGAUUAAGCUCUUCAAGAUGAGGGAGAGCAGUAAUGAGGACUCCCAGGUCAUAGUGAUGCAUGGAGACUUCACUGAGCCCCAAAUCACUCCCUGAAUCAGAGAAGUUGUCUUCUUCCUCCUUUUGAUCCAGCGUCACUGGUGGCAGGAACUGAUCAACCUCCAGUUUCCACACGUACUCUUUGCAGAGCGGGAUGAGCUCCAGGACCUGGUUGGGGUCCGUGAUGUUAGGGAUGAAACAUUUCAGGAUGUUCUCCAGGUGACGUUCAAAGAACAUCCGCUUCCAGCUGUCUCCAUAGUUGGAGACGUCACACACUUGCCAGCGCUGAGUGCAGCACCUCUUCCAGUAGUCCUCAUCGUGUAUUAGGUUGGCAGUCACAGUGAGUGGAAGUCCAGUGGAGAGCUUGUCCAGCACCUUCCUUUGGUGCUCAGGCAGAAGACGGUCCAUAAUAGGGUUCUCUGGAGGGAAUGGAGAAGAGGAGAGGUUGCUCUGAGCUGUAGGCCCAUGGCCUGUAGGCCAGAGUUCUGCCCAGACCCUCAGCUGUGUGUCCAUGCCCCCCCCACUGAUACUGGAUCCCUUCUCAGUUGCCAUUAGCUGAUGCAGGGAACUAAGCUGGCAGAAACUGACUCAUUUUGGGGUAUUUCUAUCUUUUCACUAUACAAUAUCAGCGUAAUUGAAUUUACUCUCAUAAUAUUUGGAAACUGUAUCAGAAACUUAGCUCCCAUCUCUAUAACUACCAAAGCUGGGUAAGGUCCCAAAUAAGGGGCAAAUAAGGUCCUGACUAAGGUUAUUGACCUGUAGUUGGGAAUUUGCAUGUAGUUUUGAACAGAUCUUGAAAGUAUCUGCUUUCAAGCACUGUAAAUCCAGAUCAUCAGUUUAAAUUUGGUUUUAAUUGGGUUUAUAUUCAGAGGAAGACUGCUGCCACUAACACAACUAUUCUAGGCUUAUAGUGAUGGCAGAAUUUGGCUUGUCAUUUGCUCAACUUUCUCCCUUUGGAUUCUAACCAUAUUGAAGGAUGAUAUUUGAGAAGUGAACUCUCUGUGUGCUUUUCAUACAAGUCCUCUUAUCUUCUCAUCUUAACUCAGGUGUCUGUCUUACCCCAAACUGAUUCCUGAGUCCUUCUCACUAAGACACACUUUAUCUUAGCCUUCAGAUCCACCCUGUUAAAUAAAGGUUCUCUUUUCCCAGGAGCUUUCUCUCCUCAGUGCCUUCCCUGAAGCCUUGCCCUGAGUGUCAGCUGACUUCUCUCUGGUGGAAGUUCUUUGUGGUAAGAGAUGCCAGAGAAAAGCUAUGUGUAUAUACAGCUUGAAUACUUGGUGACAAGUACAUGUAUGUGUUGAAUCACAGAGCUUAUCAGUGGAAAGGCCUAUCUGCACAUGGGAAAUCAGAUUCUUGGACAAAAGGUGGUCUUAGUCUUAUAUUUUUCUCUCUCUGGGGCAUUUCCUUCCUAAGGACACCCAGAGUUUUACCAGAGGCUCUCCCAGGAGUCUCUUCUCCAGUGUCCUACAGCUGGCACUGCAGUGACCUUCUCUGCAAAGACUCACAGUGCAAGCAGAGGUUGGACACAUGUUGACAUAACUGAACUAGUUUCAGUCUAGCUCACUCAGGCAACAGCAGCGGGCAAGAUGCAGCUGCACAGGUCAGAUGCUGGUAUGAGGGACCCCCAGAGACUGAGCACACUUAAUGCCUACGCUGUAGGUCCAAUCUAUUUGGCAUCAGGCUGACUGAUCAAACUGAUAGGACUUGGAAGGGCUCCCAUCUGGGACCCCCAAGCACCAGUUCCUGGUCUAAGGCAGCACUGAGCUUCUCUAUACUGUGUUACAGCUUCAGUGUGGAUAUACCCUAUCUUUGGUCUUUGCUACAACUCCACUGAGUCAGCCAAAAACACAGGUAGGUCCUGUCUUUCCCCCUCCCAUCCAAUUCCCAGAUGAGACACCCUUUCUAUGUUUUUGCUGUGUUUCAUCAGUCCAUCUGCCUCAAAAGCACCUUCCCUGCCUGGGGACAUGACUUGUCACAUCACCACCACAAGCUGUGGAGAAGGCCUGAAACUGUGAGUACAAUAUGAAUUCUGAGAUGGGGGCUCCUUGGAGCAGGGAGUAUUUCUACGUCUCUUUUUACAGCACUCAGCACAAUGGGGGCUCCAUCCUUGAGUGCUACUGUAAUGUGUGUAUGAAUCAAGAGAAGGAAAUAGCAACUUCACAGUCCUGGUCACAGCUGAGGUAGUGAGUCCAGCAGACCACGGAAGGAAGAAGAAAUGAUAGGACAAGGUUAGGGCAGAGUCACAUCCUGGAUAGCAGCCCAGAGGACUAAAACAUCCCUGGAGUGUGCAAGUACAUGCUUAGCAACUAGACAGUUUGCUUAACUAGCUGCUUGAGGAGAUGUUUUUCUCCAUCUGUUUCUCUGGCAGGGCUGGGUACCACCCUCUGUGCCUUUCAGAGGCAUUUGCCUGCUCUGUUGACCCUCUGCUCCCCAAGACAGAUGCUGUCUCCCUGUGUGUCCUGGGGGAGAAGCACUCCUGCUUACUUUCAAAAUUGCAAAUGAUGUGCUGGAGGCAGAGCUCAGUGAGCUGUGGGACAAUGGCGAGGGACCACUCAGGAUCCUCAGCAAUGACGCGUUGUAUACAGUACGAAUCAGCAGCGAGGCUGGCCUGGGAUGGGAAUGAGGGAAGGACUGUGCUCACAUCACCAGCCACUGGCUCCUGCAUCCUGCUCAGGUCCCACUUUUCCUUCAGAAGAAGCUGGAGGAAAACUGCUUGAGAUCAGAAGUCACCACCACGUUUUCCAGCUGGGCUACCUGGAACAGAAAAAGAUAAUUUUAGUAAAAGGCCAGGAAUAAGAAUACUUUGCUCACGUUGCUCUUUUGUAAUGCACUUUUCUCCCGCCCUUUGCCUGCUUCUUCUGCUUGGACUGGGAGCACUGCAGCACAGCAACUAUUAUUUAGUCUUAUCUUCAUAUAGUGCCCUGCACAAAGACAUCUCUAGGUACCACAUGUAAUAAACAGAUGAUAAUGUAGUGUUAA